CCCUUAGAUGUUCUGGGCUGCACGCGUGCUACACUGAUUCUUUCAACAAGUGUUUUAACUGGAGAGUUUGCGUAAUCCUGAAAUGCUAUCGUGAUGGGAGUAGAGUAUUGUAUUUGUUAAUCUUUAACGAGGAAUUCCUAGUAAGUGUAGGUUUAUAAGUUGUUCUGAUUACGUCCCUGCCCUUUGUACACACCGCCCGUCGCUCCUACCGAUUGAUUGAUCCGGUGAAUUACAUAGAAUUUUGCGUUUUACAUGACGGAAGAUGAAGUGUUUUAAACCUUAUCAUUUAGAGGAAGGAGAAGUCGUAACA
rnacentral:rRNA from 1 species